rnacentral:piRNA from 1 species
UCUGACUUCUUUGAUUUCAUGGGCUGCUGC